ensembl:snRNA U4 U4 spliceosomal RNA
AGCUUUGUACAGUGGCAGUGUCCUAGCCAAUGGGGUUUAUCCAAGGCAUGAUUAUUGUUAAUUGAAAACUUUUCCCAAAAGCUCUUUUUAAAAAUUCAACCCCAAAUACCUAUUU